AACGAACGCUGGCGGCAUGCCUAACACAUGCCAGUCGAACGAGACCUCCCGGCUUAGUGGCGCACGGGUGCGUAACCCGUGGGAACCUGCCUUUAGGUUCUGCAUAUCUCCCUGAAAGGGGCGCUAGUAACGGAUACUGUUUUCGGACCAAAGAGUCAUCGCCUUUGGAUGGGUUCGCGUUGGAUUUGGUAGUUGGUAGGGGAAAAGCCUACCAAGGCGACGUUCCAUAGCUGGUCUGAGAGGAUGCUCAGCCACGCUGGGGCUAAGACACGGCCCCGACUCCUACGGAAGGCAGCAGUGGAGAAUAUUGGACGAUGGGCGAAAGCCUGGUCCAGCAAUGCCGCGUGAGUGAUGAAGGCCUUAGGGUUGUAAAGCUCUUUUACCCGGAAUGAUAAUGACGGUACCGGGAGAAUAAGCUCCGGCUAACUCCGUG
rnacentral:rRNA from 1 species